rnacentral:rRNA from 1 species
UACGUAGGGGGCUAGCGUUGUCCGGAAUCAUUGGGCGUAAAGCGCGUGUAGGCGGCCCGAUAAGUCCGCUGUGAAAGUCCAGGGCUCAACCCUGGGAUGCCGGUGGAAUACUGUCGGGCUCGAGUCCGGAAAGAGGGCGAGUGGAAUUCCUGGUGUAGCGGUGAAAUGCGCAGAUAUCAGGAAGAACACCCGUGGCGAAGGCGGCUCUCUGGGACGGUACUGACGCUGAGACGACGAAAGCGUGGGGAGCAAACAGG